CUUUUGUAUAAUGGGUCAGCGACUUAUAUUCUGUAGCAAGGUUAACCGAAUAGGGGAGCCGAAGGGAAACCGAGUCUUAACUGGGCGUUAAGUUGCAGGGUAUAGACCCGAAACCCGGUGAUCUAGCCAUGGGCAGGUUGAAGGUUGGGUAACACUAACUGGAGGACCGAACCGACUAAUGUUGAAAAAUUAGCGGAUGACUUGUGGCUGGGGGUGAAAGGCCAAUCAAACCGGGAGAUAGCUGGUUCUCCCCGAAAGCUAUUUAGGUAGCGCCUCGUGAAUUCAUCUCCGGGGGUAGAGCACUGUUUCGGCAAGGGGGUCAUCCCGACUUACCAACCCGAUGCAAACUGCGAAUACCGGAGAAUGUUAUCACGGGAGACACACGGCGGGUGCUAACGUCCGUCGUGAAGAGGGAAACAACCCAGACCGCCAGCUAAGGUCCCAAAGUCAUGGUUAAGUGGGAAACGAUGUGGGAAGGCCCAGACAGCCAGGAUGUUGGCUUAGAAGCAGCCAUCAUUUAAAGAAAGCGUAAUAGCUCACUGGUCGAGUCGGCCUGCGCGGAAGAUGUAACGGGGCUAAACCAUGCACCGAAGCUGCGGCAGCGACACUAUGUGUUGUUGGGUAGGGGAGCGUUCUGUAAGCCUGUGAAGGUGUGCUGUGAGGCAUGCUGGAGGUAUCAGAAGUGCGAAUGCUGACAUAAGUAACGAUAAAGCGGGUGAAAAGCCCGCUCGCCGGAAGACCAAGGGUUCCUGUCCAACGUUAAUCGGGGCAGGGUGAGUCGACCCCUAAGGCGAGGCCGAAAGGCGUAGUCGAUGGGAAACAGGUUAAUAUUCCUGUACUUGGUGUUACUGCGAAGGGGGGACGGAGAAGGCUAUGUUGGCCGGGCGACGGUUGUCCCGGUUUAAGCGUGUAGGCUGGUUUUCCAGGCAAAUCCGGAAAAUCAAGGCUGAGGCGUGAUGACGAGGCACUACGGUGCUGAAGCAACAAAUGCCCUGCUUCCAGGAAAAGCCUCUAAGCAUCAGGUAACAUCAAAUCGUACCCCAAACCGACACAGGUGGUCAGGUAGAGAAUACCAAGGCGCUUGAGAGAACUCGGGUGAAGGAACUAGGCAAAAUGGUGCCGUAACUUCGGGAGAAGGCACGC
rnacentral:rRNA from 1 species